rnacentral:rRNA from 1 species
AGUGAACGCUGGCGGUAGGCCUAACACAUGCAAGUCGAACGGCAGCACAGUAAGAGCUUGCUCUUACGGGUGGCGAGUGGCGGACGGGUGAGGAAUACAUCGGAAUCUACUUUUUCGUGGGGGAUAACGUAGGGAAACUUACGCUAAUACCGCAUACGACCUACGGGUGAAAGCAGGGGAUCUUCGGACCUUGCGCGAUUGAAUGAGCCGAUGUCGGAUUAGCUAGUUGGCGGGGUAAAGGCCCACCAAGGCGACGAUCCGUAGCUGGUCUGAGAGGAUGAUCAGACAAACGGGAACUGAGACACGGUCCAGACUCCUACGGGAGGCAGCAGUGGGGAAUAUGGGACAAUGGGCGCAAGCCUGAUCCAGCCAUACCGCGUGGGUGAAGAAGGCCUUCGGGUUGUAGAGCCCUUUUGUUGGGAAAGAAAAGCAGCAGGUUAAUACCCCGCUGUUCUGACGGUACCCAAAGAAUAAGCACCGGCUAACUUCGUG